rnacentral:rRNA from 1 species
CGCAUCUGUGCAUGCAGCAUAUCAAUAAGCGGAGGAAAAGAAACUAACAAGGAUUCCCUUAGUAACGGCGAGUGAAGCGGGAAGAGCUCAAAUUUGAAAUCUUCAAGGUUUUACCUUGACGAAUUGUAGUUUAAAGAAGUGUUUUCUGUUGAAGUUUUGGUAAAAGUUCUUUGGAAUAGGACAUCAUAGAGGGUGAGAAUCCCGUAUUUGACCAUUAUUUUCAGCUGUGUGAUACACUUUCAAAGAGUCGGAUUGUUUGGGAAUGCAGUCCAAAAUGGGUGGUAAAUUUCAUCUAAAGCUAAAUAUUGGCGAGAGACCGAUAGCGAACAAGUACCGUGAGGGAAAGAUGAAAAGAACUUUGAAAAGAGAGUUAAACAGUACGUGAAAUUGUCAAAAGGGAAGCGUUUGACACCAGUGUUGUUUUCUCGAAAAUCAAUUAAAAAGAGUUUGAUUUUGUUGUGUAUUGACCUUAACAGCUUGCAUUUCAAUUUUCUUGCUUUUUUUAAUGCACUUUUCGUUUAACAAGUCAACAUCAGUUUCUUUUGUUGUAAAAAGGUCAUUGGAAGGUGGCUUUCUUUUCGGAGAAAGUGUUUAUAGCCUUUGACUCCUGCAAUCGGAGAGACUGAGGUCUGCAGCGUAGAUCCUUCGAGGUCAGAUACAUUUGUGCUAAGUUAUAGCUUUUUAUAGACAACUUGUUGACUAUGAUUAGUCUUGUAGCUUACUCGCUUAUGCUAUUUUACCUACGCUUAGGAUGUUGAUGUGAUACUGCGAGCA